ensembl:lncRNA
CCUGUGUGGGUCCGCUGUUGUUCUGCUCAGUAUGGAGGCUGCCCUGGACUCCCGGCCUGGUGCUCUGAUGUCUCUGUCACCCCGUAGCUGUCUGGCGGCAUGCCCAUAUUCACAGCCCAUUCAGACAGGCCAUGGGUGCUUGGUGAUGCAGGCCAGCAUAGCAACAGGCUCCAAGAGACGCAGAGUUAUUGGAGAAAAUAUAGAUUGAUCAUUAAACCCAAAUGAUCGGGUUUAAGGGAGGAAACGGGACUGGAGCGACAAAGGGAGAGGAGGAGGAGGAGGUGGACGCGAGGAGGCCCACGCCUCUUCUGCCCUAACGGAGAGGAG